UACGGAGGGUGCAAGCGUUAUCCGGAUUCACUGGGUUUAAAGGGAGCGUAGGUGGGCAGGUAAGUCAGUGGUGAAAUCUCCAGGCUUAACUUGGAAACUGCCAUUGAUACUAUCAGUCUUGAAUACCGUGGAGGUCAGCGGAAUAUGUCAUGUAGCGGUGAAAUGCUUAGAUAUGACAUAGAACACCAAUUGCGAAGGCAGCUGGCUACACGAAUAUUGACACUGAUGCACGAAAGCGUGGGGAUCAAACAGG
rnacentral:rRNA from 1 species